rnacentral:tRNA from 1 species
GGGCCUGUGGCUUAAUCUGGAUAUAGCACUCGGUUUCGGCCCGAGAGAUUGAGGGUUCGAAUCCCUUCAGGCCCA